ensembl:lncRNA
AUGCUGUGAAAGAAAGAGCUGUCAGUCACUGGGGUUCUCUAAAGACAGUCGCCUGGGUUCAUGUUUUACAUACCCAGUGUAAAAUGCAAGGUAAAUGUGAGGUAAAUGUGAGGUUAAUGUGAGGUAAAUGUGAUGUAAAUGUGAGGUUAAUGUGAGGUAAAUGUGAGGUUAAUGUGAGGUAAAUGUGAUGUUAGUGUGAGGUUAAUGUGAGGUAAAUGUGAGGUAAAUGUGAGGUAAAUGUGAGGUUAAUGUGAUGUAAAUGUGAGGUUAAUGUGAGGUAACUGAGGUAAAUGUGAGGUAAAUGUGAUGUAAAUGUGAUGUAAAUGUGAGGUUAAUGUGAGGUAACUGUGAGGUAAAUGUGAUGUAAAUGUGAGGUUAAUGUGAGGUAAAUGUGAUGUAAGUGUGAGGUUUAUGUGAGGUAAAUGUGAGGUAAAUGUGAGGUAAAUGUGAGGUAAAUCUUUGAUUAGAUUAGAGCAAGCCUGGAUCCAUGAUGCUCUUCACUUCAGUGAUUCUUAUUCACUCUGCAUGAUGAAAUGCCUCCUUAAAAAAUAAAUAACUAUUUAAA